GGCCCCGUAGCUCAAUUGGAUAGAGCAUCUGACUACGGAUCAGAAGGUUGAAGGUUCGAGUCCUUCCGAGGUCA
rnacentral:tRNA from 1 species